rnacentral:rRNA from 1 species
UUGAUCAUGGCUCAGGAUGAACGCUAGCGGCAGGCUUAACACAUGCAAGUCGAGGGGCAUCACGAGUAGCAAUACUUGGUGGCGACCGGCGCACGGGUGCGUAACGCGUAUACAACCUACCUUAUAUAGGUGAAUAACCCGAAGAAAUUCGGACUAAUACACCGUAAGUAUACCAAAGGCAUCUUUGGUAUAUGAUAGAUUUAUCGAUAUAAGAUGGGUAUGCGUGACAUUAGGUAGUUGGUGGGGUAAAGGCUCACCAAGCCGACGAUGUCUAGGGGUUCUGAGAGGAAGGUCCCCCACACUGGUACUGAGACACGGACCAGACUCCUACGGGAGGCAGCAGUGAGGAAUAUUGGUCAAUGGGCGCAAGCCUGAACCAGCCAUGCCGCGUGCAGGAUGAAUGCUCUAUGAGUUGUAAACUGCUUUAUACAAGAAUAAUAUGAGUUACGUGUAAUUUUUUGAAUGUAUUGUAUGAAUAAGGACCGGCUAACUCCG